GACGAACGCUGGCGGCGUGCUUAACACAUGCAAGUCGAACGGAAAGGCCCUGCUUUUGUGGGGUGCUCGAGUGGCGAACGGGUGAGUAACACGUGAGUAACCUGCCCUUGACUUUGGGAUAACUUCUGGAAACUGGGGCUAAUACCGGAUAGGAGCUCCUGCUGCAUGGUGGGGGUUGGAAAGUUUCGGCGGUUGGGGAUGGACUCGCGGCUUAUCCGCUUGUUAGUGGGGUAGUGGCUUACCAAGGCUUUGACGGGUAGCCGGCCUGAGAGGGUUGCCGGCCACAAUAGGACUGAGAGACGGACCAGACUCCUACGGGAGGCAGCAGUGGGGAAUAUUGCACAAUGGGCGGAAGCCUGAUGCAGCAGCGCCGCGUGCGGGAUGACGGCCUUCGGGUUGUAAACCGCUUUCGCCUGUGACGAAGCGUGAGUGACGGUAAUGGGUAAAGAAGCACCGGCUAACUACGUG
rnacentral:rRNA from 1 species